CCGGUCCUGGGCUGGGGGCAGGGGCUAGGGCCGGGUCCCGGGGUGAGCCGAAACCUGGGGGUCGGGCGGGGCGGGAAAUGGGGCGCAGUGAGGCUGGGAGCCGGCCCUGAGCUCGUCCUGCGUAGGGGUAGCCGGGCUCAGGGGGCGCCUGAGCUGGAGGUGGAAGCGUGAAGUCAGGACUGAGUGGGCGAAGAGAACCUGGGCUGAGACAUGGCCGCUUACCAACAAGAAGGGCAGAUGCAGCUUCCCCGAGCUGAUGCCAUUCGUUCACGUCUCAUCGAUACUUUCUCUCUCAUCGAGCAUUUGCAAGGCUUGAGCCAAGCUGUGCUGCGACACACUAUCAGGAGUUACUUGAUCCUUCCCGCCAGAAGAAACUUAUGUUGGGAGAUCAACACCAGCUAGUGGGCGUCUCUAUAAAGCCUCAACGUAUAGAACAGAUUUCACAUGCCCAGAGGCUGUUGAGCAGGCUUCAUGUGCGCUGCAGUCAGAGGCCACCUCUUUCUUUGUGGGCCGGAUGGGUCCUUGAGUGUAUCCUUUCAUGUCACUCAUUUUUAUCCUGGCUGUUGAUCAUCUGCCUAAUGACUUAUUUUUUGCUUCCCAAACUCCAUUGUCUCAUUCUCACUGCUUAUGUUAUUGCUCUUAUUAUUUCAGCUGCAUAAAUCAGAAAGAACUCCACUCUGUAUGUUUCCUUAAGAGACAACAGGUCCUCUCUUCAAAAACUUCAUCAUCUUCCUGAUCUUUUUGAAUACGAUCGUACUGAUGGUUGAAAUACGUGAGAACUGACAUUGUAUGAAAGAGGAAGUGAGGCCAGGCGCGGCGGCUCACACGUGUAAUCCUAGCACUGUGGGAGGCCGAGGCAGGCGGAUUGCCAAAGCUCAGGAGUUCAAGACCAG
rnacentral:lncRNA from 1 species